AUGGACGAGGUGGAGUAUGACGUCACCAAGGCUCGGCAGAAGACGACCAAGGUGGGCUCCUUCCGAAUAAAUCCUGACGGGACGCAGGAGAGGAGAAAGACCCCCCUAGCCCACUCGGAGGUUUUCCUAACAGACCUGUUGGACCAAGUGUGCGAGCGGAUGAACCAUUACCAGCUGGAAGAAGAUUCCGUGACUCGGGAGAAGAAGUUUAAGAGAUUUGCUCCAAGGCAAGGAGACAGAAUAUACAAAGAAUUUAAAAAAUUCCAUUUUUAUUCUGAUGCUUACAGACCUUUGAAAUUCGCGUGCGAAGCUAUUAUAGAGGAGCAUGAAGACGAGAUAUUCUCACUUAUCGCCCAGGAGGCACACGACCUCGCUGACAAGCUGUGCAGUGAGAAGGCAGUUCAUUGACGCUGGACCCUACCAGGAGUGUCCAGUUUACUCCCCGUGCGCAGACCAGUACGUGGGGGACCAUGGAGAAAACGCGUAUUGCAUUCGCGACGACCGUUUGGAUUUAAAAAGGCCCCGUCAGUGAGGUUUUCGUGAACGUAUGCACCCUGCCUUGAACGAAUAAAGAAAACCUCGGUGAAAGACGAUAGCAUCGCAGGCGGGUCUGUGGACACCUCCUCACCGCUCUGCGCUGCAUAAAAGAAAAGGCGUCAAAUACAUCCUGCUCUCGGGGUGUGAGACGGAGUAAUGGGACUACCUGAUAGGCAAUCUGUCGUCGUCGUCGUUUUUCCCCAGGCAAAAAAAGAGAAAUCUCUGUGGAGCCUCUGCUAACCUCGCGGAGCUCCCGGAUGGCACCUCUACCGGCUACUGAGGAGGAAAGUCACAGCCCACAGGUCAACGUCCGUGUUCCUAUCUUCACGUUUCCUCACGAAAACAAAGUUCACGUGUCUCGUUUAUACGGCGUUGUCGCACGUAUGACAUUGUGUUGAAAAUCUGUUGUUUGGUGUCGCGACAGACCCGAUUCUUUGGAUAGGGGAAGUUGAGGACUGCAUAAAACAAAUUACCCUUGUGGAUUCGGAUACAGACAGGGUCAGGAGUGAAGCGUUUAAGUGCCCAGGAAGAAAAAACGGAAGGCAUUUCAUAAAUGAAAUAAGGAUUUGAUAACAUACACAAUAUCUUAUGCGCGUCUACACGUAUAAUGUUCUAGCUGACGAGGAAGAGCGUGAUUUGAGUUCUUAAAUGCUUGACUGGUCAUGAAGGUAAGAAAGUAUAUUGCCACAAAUUCCA